CAGUCGCCGCGGUAAUACGGAGGGGGCUAGCGUUGUUCGGAAUUACUGGGCGUAAAGCGCACGUAGGCGGCUUGGUAAGUUAGAGGUGAAAGCCUGGAGCUCAACUCCAGAAUUGCCUUUAAGACUGCCGAGCUAGCAGGUGAGAGAGGUAAGUGGAAUUCCGAGUGUAGAGGUGAAAUUCGUAGAUAUUCGGAAGAACACCAGUGGCGAAGGCGGCUUACUGGCUCAUACUGGACGCUGAGGUGCGAAAGCGUGGAGAGCAAACAGGAUUAGAUACCCCUGUAGUCCCUGUCUCUUAUAC
rnacentral:rRNA from 1 species